UGAUUUCAAGUUCAAAAGAGAAAGUGUCGUUUUGUUUCAGGUGCAAAAAUAAAGGACAUCAGUUGAGUGACUGUAAUAUUGAGCUAUUUUGUGAAAUUUGUGAUGUCAAAACUCACUUAACUUCGAAAUGUCCGGUGGUUCGUGCCUGCAAAACUUUUGCAAUACCUUGCGGGUAUGCGGUGGAGGGAUUGGGGUUUUACUUUAUACCCCAACCCAUUCCAGUAAAGCAGAGGCAAGGUGGCUGCAAUGGUACAGUGUCUAUUGUGGAGGGUUCCAUGAAUGAAGAGCAGAUUUUGAAUGAGCUUAAAAGGUUGGUGGCUGCUGAUUGGGACUGGUGUGUGAAGUGUGUGGGGAACAAUGUGUUCUCGACGUGUUUCCCUUCCAGGGGUGAACUUCACCGUAUGAUCGAGUGGGGAACUGUUCAUACAAAAUUUGGUGCACAGAUGCUUGUCAAGGAAGAG
rnacentral:misc_RNA from 1 species